GAGUUUGAUCCUGGCUCAGGACGAACGCUGGCGGCGUGCCUAAUACAUGCAAGUCGAGCGAGCUUGCCUAGAUGAUUUUAGUGCUUGCACUAAAUGAAACUAGAUACAAGCGAGCGGCGGACGGGUGAGUAACACGUGGGUAACCUGCCCAAGAGACUGGGAUAACACCUGGAAACAGAUGCUUAUACCGGAUAACAACACUAGACGCAUGUCUAGAGUUUGAAAGAUGGUUCUGCUAUCACUCUUGGAUGGACCUGCGGUGCAUUAGCUAGUUGGUAAGGUAACGGCUUACCAAGGCGACGAUGCAAAGCCGAGUUGAGAGACUGAUCGGCCACAUUGGGACUGAGACACGGCCCAAACUCCUACGGGAGGCAGCAGUAGGGAAUCUUCCACAAUGGACGAAAGUCUGAUGGAGCAACGCCGCGUGAGUGAAGAAGGGUUUCGGCUCGUAAAGCUCUGUUGGUAGUGAAGAAAGAUAGAGGUAGUAACUGGCCUUUAUUUGACGGUAAUUACUUAGAAAGUCACGGCUAACUACGUGCCAGCAGCCGCGGUAAUACGUAGGUGGCAAGCGUUGUCCGGAUUUAUUGGGCGUAAAGCGAGUGCAGGCGGAAAAAUAAGUCUAAUGUGAAAGCCCUCGGCUUAACCGAGGAACUGCAUCGGAAACUGUUUUUCUUGAGUGCAGAAGAGGAGAGUGGAACUCCAUGCGUAGCGGUGAAAUGCGUAGA
rnacentral:rRNA from 1 species